AGUUGGAGUCUCACUCUGUUGCCCAGGCUUGGAAUACAGUGGUGCGAUCUCAGCUCACUGCAACCUCCACCUCCUGGGUUCAAGCGAUUCUCCUGCCUCAGCCUCCGGAGUACCUGGGAUUACAGGAAAAAGAAGACAAUAAAAAGAUGAGUGUUCAAAAUGCUGAUAGAGAGCAGUGUGACUCCCAAGUGUCACAGCGGCUCAGAUGCCACAUAGACCCCGGAUAUGGUUGUUUACAGGCACCGUUUGUUCAUGCUUCAAACGAGCUUCAAAGCAGGACUCUGUUCUUCCCUUUGUUCCCCAAAGAGAAGAUGCCAACCUGAGGCAGGAGCGAACAAUGUGAAAUGUACAGACUGUGAGAAGGUUUCCGCUGCGUAUCACUCAGCAUUUCACCCCCCAGAUUCCCCAUUAGUUAUCUGUUACGAGUUUCUCUGCUGUGGGGCCCUGCUCUCUCUUCAUUCACUCUCCCUGGCUGCAGCCAAGUGGAAGCCAUUGCCACCUUUUCCUUUGCAAUGCUAAGCAGUUUAGCUCAGUCCGAGCUCUCUCAAGUCCAGCCACCAGCUGGCCCAGGCUCAAAAAAGACUCAGGAAAGCACAUUAUCAAAGCAGGUCACCUGCAGAGGGAUUUUACCAGUAAGGGUCCUGGCAGGAACAGAUGGAGCACUCCAAUGGGUAAUUUGAAGAGAAUUUAAUUGAGGGACCAUUUAAAGGUAUAGGCCAGGUUUAGGGAAAACAAUUCAAGGGCUAGGAACAGCAGACUGACUUACCCCUCUGUACUAGGCAGAAUUCUAAGAAGACUUCCAAUGUGUUACACCCUCGUAUAAUCUGCCCUUAAAUAUGGGUGGAACAUAACCGGGUGUGGUGGCUCAUGCCUGUAAUUCCAACACUUUGGAAGGCCAAGGUGGGUGGAUCACCUGGGGUCAGGGGUUUGAGACCAGCCUGACCAACAUGGUGAAACCCUGUCUCUACUAAAAAUACAAAAAUUAGCCAGACAUGGUGGCAGGUGCCUGUAGUCCCAGCUACUCAGGAGUCUGAGGCAGGAGAAUCACUUGAACCUGGGAAGCAGAGGUUGCAGUGAGCCGAGAUUGCACCACUGCACUGCAGCCUGGGCAACAGAGCGAGACUCUGUCUCAAAAAAAAAUAAAAAUUUUUAAAAAAGGGUGGAACUUGUGAUUUGUGUCUAUCCAAUAGAAUAUGACAGAGGUUAUGGGAUAUCAGUCCUGUGAUUAAGUUCCAUUGUGGAGGACUCUGUCUUAGCUGACUAGAGUGAGAGAUUCUCCUGUUGGCCUUGGAGAAAUGAGCCACCAUGUUGUAAGGAAGUCAUCUGGCAAGGAACCACGGGUAACUUCUUUUUUUUUUUUUUUUUUGAUACAGAGUCUCGCUCUUUCGCCCAGGCUGGAGUGCAGGGGCGCCAUCUCGGCUCACUGUAAGCUCCGCCUCCUGGGUUCAUGCCAUUCUCCUGCCUCAGCCUCCCGAGUAGCUGGGACUACAGGUGCCCGCCACCACACCUGGCCAAUUUUUUGUAUGUUUAGUAUGUUUAGUAGAGACGGGGUUUCACCAUGUUAGCCAGGAUGGUCUUGAUCUCCUGAGCCUCCCAGGUUCAAGCGAUUCUCCUGCCUCAACCUCCCGAGUACCUGGGACUACAGGCACCUGCCACCACACCUGGCUAAUUUUUUGUAUUUUUAGGAGAGACAGGGUUUCACCAUGUUAGCCAGGAUGGUCUCAAUCUCCUGACCUUGUGAUCCACCCGCCUCGGCCUCCCAAAGUGCUGGGAUUACAGGCGUGAGCCACUGCGCCCGGCCUAUUUUUAUUUUUUUACUGAUUUUUAAAUGUUUUGUAGAAAUAAAGUCUUGCUUUAUUGCCCAGGCUGGUCUCAAACUCCUAGGCUCAAGCAUUCCUCCUUCCUUGGCCUUCCAAAGUGCUGAGAUUACAGGUGUGAGCCACCACACUGACCAGGGUUGGUUUUGUUUUCCUGGUUGGUUGGUUGGUUUGUUUUGUUUUUUGAGACAGGGUCUUACUCUAUUGCUCAGGCUGGAGUGCAGUGGCACAGUCAUAGCUCACCGCAGCCUUGACCUCCAGGAUUAAGCAAUCCUCCUACCUCGGCCUCCUGAGUAGCUGGGACCACAGGUGAGUACCCCCAGUGCCUGGCUAAUUUUUAAAAUUUUUUGUAGAGACAGUCUCCCUAUGUUGCCCAGGCUGGUUUUUAAUUCCUGGGCUCGAGGAAUCCUCCCGUGUCAGCAUCCCAAAAUGCUGGGAUUACAGGCGUGAGUCACCAUGCCAGCCCCAUUUUACAUUUAUAGGAUAUAAAAUGUGUCUUCAACCCAUGUGAAAUAGACCAAAGUUCAUUUUUACGUACAGAUAUGGAACCAUAUCCAAGAUAAAGAGAUAAGUGAGAAGAAAAUAAGGAUUGGGACAGUAUGUAUUUGCUGGUACGUGCAUAGAAAUGUUUCUGGAAGGUAACACAAAAACCUGUUAACAGUGGUUUUCCCUGGAGAGUGGGAAUAAGAUGGGGACUUUCCUGUAAAUUAUUUUGUAUCUUUUGAAUUUGGUCCCAUGUGUAUGUACUACAUCUUUGAAAACAUGAGUGAUUAAACAUUUUUAAAGGUGUCUGUACUCUACAAACCAAAAUAUACACUCAGCAUUGGAGAUGGCCUUCCAGAAAAUAAAAAUAAUGAAUUUUCCCCCAAUAGACAAGAUUGUCACUUAAUAAACUAUCCGUCCAUAUCUGAUAUUUAUCCUCAUGUGCUAAGAAUAAUUCAUUCACCUCCACCAACAAGCUAGUUUCCAUGAGGGGUACAGAGUUUUUAAUUAUGUAGCCAUGUACAAAAUCAGAAAUUUUCUGUCUUUCUGGUU
rnacentral:lncRNA from 10 species